rnacentral:rRNA from 1 species
UACGAAGGGGGCAAGCGUUGUCCGGAUUUACUGGGCGUAAAGAGCGCGCAGGCGGUCGAUUUAGUCGCGUGUGAAAGCCCCCGGCUCAACUGGGGAGGGUCACGCGAUACUGAUCGACUCGAAGGCAGGAGAGGGUAGUGGAAUUCCCGGUGUAGUGGUGAAAUGCGUAGAUAUCGGGAGGAACACCAGUGGCGAAGGCGACUACCUGGCCUGUUCUUGACGCUGAGGCGCGAAAGCUAGGGGAGCAAACGGG